rnacentral:rRNA from 1 species
UGGUGGAUAUUGCACAAUGGGCGAAAGCCUGAUGCAGCGACGCCGCGUGGGGGAUGAAGGCUUUCGGGUUGUAAACCUCUUUCGCUAUCGAACAAGGCCCGCUUAGGGUGGGUUGAGGGUAGGUGGAGAAGAAGCGCCGGCUAACUACGUGCCAGCAGCCGCGGUAAUACGUAGGGCGCGAGCGUUGUCCGGAAUUAUUGGGCGUAAAGGGCUUGUAGGCGGCUUGUUGCGCCUGCUGUGAAAACGCGGGGCUUAACUUCGCGCGUGCAGUGGGUACGGGCAGGCUUGAGUGUGGUAGGGGUGACUGGAAUUCCAGGUGUAGCGGAGGAAUGCGCAGAUAUCUGGAGGAACACCGAUGGCGAAGGCAGGUCACUGGGCCAUUACUGACGCUGAGGAGCGAAAGCAUGGGUAGCGAACAGG